UACGGAGGGUGCAAGCGUUAUCCGGAAUCACUGGGUUUAAAGGGUGCGUAGGCGGUCUUGUAAGUCAGUCGUGAAAUCACUGGGCUCAACCCAUGUAAUUGCGAUUGAUACUGCAGGACUUGAAUUGGGUUAAGGCAGGCGGAAUGUGACAUGUAGCGGUGAAAUGCAUAGAUAUGUCAUAGAACACCGAUUGCGAAGGCAGCCUGCUGGGCCUUGAUUGACGCUGAGGCACGAAAGCGUGGGGAGCAAACAGG
rnacentral:rRNA from 1 species